UGGGAACCCUUUACUUUCGGUGGUGAUACC
rnacentral:piRNA from 1 species